CCCAUAUGUUGGGGGCAUGGCAUUCUCACCUGUCCCUUCAAGCUACAGCCCAUCCUCUGGUGGUGGUUACAGUCCAUCUUCUCCAGUCUUCAGUCCAGGGCCAGGACAGGGAUACAGCCCGACUUCUCCAUCAUAUAGUCCCGCAUCACCCAGCUAUAGUCCCACUUCUCCAUCAUAUACGCCUGGCUCUCCUAGCUACAGCCCAACAAGUCCGUCGUACUCCCCAACAAGUCCAUCGUACUCUCCAACCAGUCCGUCAUACUCCCCCACAUCUCCAAGCUACAGUCCCACAUCGCCAAGCUACAGUCCCACAUCACCAAGUUAUAGUCCCACUUCUCCGAGCUACAGUCCCACAUCGCCAGUUUAUAGUCCGACCUCUCCAGCAUACAGCCCAACAUCUCCUGCAUACAGCCCGACAUCUCCAUCAUACAGCCCGACAUCGCCAUCAUACAGCCCUACUUCACCUUCAUACAGCCCUACCUCUCCAUCUUACAGCCCUACGUCUCCAUCAUACAGCCCUACGUCUCCUUCAUACAGCCCUACGUCUCCAUCAUACAGCCCGACAUCGCCCUCGUACAGCCCGACAUCGCCUGCAUACAGCCCGACAUCGCCUGGAUACAGCCCAACAUCGCCGAGCUACAGCCCUA
rnacentral:lncRNA from 1 species